UUGGAGAGUUUGAUCCUGGCUCAGGAUGAACGCUGGCGGCGUGCCUAAUACAUGCAAGUCGAGCGAACAGACGAGGAGCUUGCUCCUCUGACGUUAGCGGCGGACGGGUGAGUAACACGUGGAUAACCUACCUAUAAGACUGGGAUAACUUCGGGAAACCGGAGCUAAUACCGGAUAACAUGUUGAACCGCAUGGUUCAACAGUGAAAGACGGUCUUGCUGUCACUUAUAGAUGGAUCCGCGCCGCAUUAGCUAGUUGGUAAGGUAACGGCUUACCAAGGCAACGAUGCGUAGCCGACCUGAGAGGGUGAUCGGCCACACUGGAACUGAGACACGGUCCAGACUCCUACGGGAGGCAGCAGUAGGGAAUCUUCCGCAAUGGGCGAAAGCCUGACGGAGCAACGCCGCGUGAGUGAAGAAGGUCUUCGGAUCGUAAAACUCUGUUAUUAGGGAAGAACAAAUGUGUAAGUAACUAUGCACGUCUUGACGGUACCUAAUCAGAAAGCCACGGCUAACUACGUGCCAGCAGCCGCGGUAAUA
rnacentral:rRNA from 1 species